UAAACGCGAAGUUUUAAAAAUAAAGUAGUUUACGAAUUAAGACGUUAAUUUAGUAUUUAUUUGUAUUAUAGAUCGUACGGGUAUUUGGAUUGGAGAAAUAGAGAAUUUGGAGGGUUAAAUAACGGGCUAUUUUAUUGUGCUUUAUGAAAUUUGGAUUAAGCGAUCGAGUGUUUUCUUUCAGGAUUAAUAUACGAUGAUGUGGUCGAGCUUCCAUUCGUUGUUUCGGAAGUCUCAGUCAUGGGAGGUCUUAUUCUUCUUAGAGCUGCAGUAGUCAUGAUAGUAGACCUAGCUAGUAGCAGACGAUUUAUAUUUAUAUUAUGACUUGCUAAAAUGAUGUAUUUUGGAAAAAUGAAUUAUCCAGGGAUUUAAUAUAUGGUUAAUUGGUAUUUUAUACA